rnacentral:rRNA from 1 species
UGUGUAGGCGGAUCGUUAAGUACCUUGUGAAAUCCCACGGCUCAACCGUGGAACUGCUGGGUAUACUGGCGGUCUUGAGCCACCUAGGGGCGAGCGGAACAAGCGGUGGAGCGGUGAAAUGCGUAGAUAUCGCUUGGAACGCCAACGGUGAAAACAGCUCGCUGGGGGUGUGCUGACGCUGAGACACGAAAGCCAGGGGAGCGAACG